UCCUCUGAGCUUCCCGUCACAGUCUGGAACUCUGAGCCAACCCUGGGCAGCGGAGGAGGUUGUGCUACGAUUCCAGAAGCUCCUUGGAAUCCCCUCAAGAGAAUGGGCAGCAAAGGGCUGCUGAGGUGACUUUGCUAGAGCCAGUGAAAACCCUCAGGAAUGGACCGGAGCAAAAGGGAAAGGGGAAGAAAAAGGACAGGGAAGAAAGGAGGAGAGAGAGUUAAAAAGCCACGGGAAGAUAUCGCCACUCCGAGAGACCCCUGCCUCUUCAGAGCAGUUCUGAAGUUCCGUGUAAUCCCAUUAACUGUCUGGGAGCUCAAGCAUGGCUCAUCAGAAGAAAACCUCAGAGCAGCAACAAUCAAAUCUGGUCACCUCCUGUCCUGCCUGAAUUCUGCUUGACAUCUGACCGCUAGCUGACAGUUGUGAAGAUUUGCCUUUCAACAGUGAGACCUCCCACAAGACUGCUGCUCCUGACAGAGGACAAACUUCACAUUUGCCCAAGAUGUGGAAGAACCAUAAGCUAAAUUAUGGAGCCUGUGACAGACUUGUAGCUGCUGCCUUUUGCAAUAUUCUCUUUUCACUGGGGGAUGCUCCCUUCUAAUCUGUUUUAGUCCUACUGCAUGGUGUAGCCUCAUUGGGCAUAGAUCAUUCUGGAGCAUUUCUUCUGCCUCUGCAGGGGAGAAGAGUAGGAUACCUCUGCCUGGGGAUAGAUCAUGCCCUUUUCCUUGACACAGUCAUUUAUAUAUCUGGAGACCACAAGCACACAAGGUCUACCUGAUGUACCAGUCUUCAAAGAGCACGGACUUACCUUCCACUUGAAAGUGCUGGCUGCAUUUGCCAGCGUUGUUGAAGCGAAGGUCUAAACAAAUUAAACCAU